rnacentral:tRNA from 1 species
GGCGACAUAGAGUAUGGAACUCGCCAGGUUACAGGACUUGGAGAUAUCGGUUCGAAUCCGGCUGUCGUCACCA